rnacentral:rRNA from 1 species
CUACGGGCCGCUCCAGUUUCGAAUAAUUCACAAUGGGCGCAAGCCUGAUGAUGCGACGUUACGUGAAGGAAGAAAGCUUUAAGUUGUAAACUUCUGUCGUUAAGGAACAAAAAAUUAAGUAGUACUUUUUAUAUUGAGUUAACUUAAAAAGGAAGCAGUGGCUAAUUUCGUGCCAGCAGCCGCGGUAAUACGGGAACUGCAAGCGUUGCUCGGUUUUAUUGGGCGUAAAGAGUACGUAGGCUGUUAUAUAUGUUAAUUGUUAAAUUUUAAAGUUAAUCUUUAAAUUUGCUGUUAAAACUAUAUAACUAGAAUUUCAAAGAGGUAAGUGGAAUUUCAAGUGUAGCGGUGAAAUGCGUAGAUAUUUGAAGGAACACCAAUGGCGAAAGCAACUUACUGGGUGAUAAUUGACGCUAAAGUACGAAAGUAUAGGGAGCAAAAGGGAUUAGAUACCCGAGUAGUC